rnacentral:rRNA from 1 species
UGGGGAAUCUUGGACAAUGGGCGAAAGCCUGAUCCAGCCAUGCCGCGUGAGUGACGAAGGUCUUCGGAUUGUAAAGCUCUUUUGGCGGGGACGAUAAUGACGGUACCCGCAGAAUAAGCCCCGGCUAACUUCGUGCCAGCAGCCGCGGUAAUACGAAGGGGGCUAGCGUUGUUCGGAUUUACUGGGCGUAAAGGGCGCGUAGGCGGCAAUUCAAGUCAUCUGUGAAAUCUCCGGGCUUAACUCGGAACGGUCAGAUGAUACUGCUUUGCUAGAGUGCAGAAGGGGCAAUCGGAAUUCUUGGUGUAGCGGUGAAAUGCGUAGAUAUCAAGAGGAACACCUGAGGUGAAGACGGGUUGCUGGGCUGACACUGACGCUGAGGCGCGAAAGCCAGGGGAGCAAACGGGAUUAGAUACCCAAGUAGUCCCUGAGCGGGCUGGCAAGGCGCAU